GCCUGGGUGGCUCAGACGGUUGAGCGUCUGACUUCAGCUCAGGUCAUGAUCUCACGGUUCGUGAGUUCGAGCCCCGCGUCAGGCU
rnacentral:tRNA from 1 species